GGAUGUGCUCUGCCUGACAGUUGAUACCUGGGUUUUGGGAAGACCGGGGCUAAGAUCAGAAAUGCCCCCAAGAUCCUGUUUUGGACCCGGGCAGCAUCACCUGUGUCCCAUGCAAUUUUGGUAUCUGGCCUCCCGGUUUUCUGCUGCAUUUCUGGGAUUCACAAACUGGCGGGCUCACCACGCAGGCAGAAAUGACUUGUUCGGUCUUCUGGUUUCUAAUUGCUCUGCCACAGCAGGUGCUCCACAGAGACCUCAGUGACAGAGGGAGAGGAGGGCAGACGG